UACGUAGGGGGCAAGCGGUUGUCCGGAUUUAUUGGGCGUAAAGAGCGUGUAGGCGGUUAGGUAGGUCCGUUGUGAAAACUCGAGGCUCAACCUCGAGACGCCGAUGGAAACCAUCUGACUAGAGUCCGGAAGAGGAGAGUGGAAAUUCCUGGUGUAGCGGUGGAAUGCGCAGAUAUCAGGAGGAACACCAAUGCGAAGGCAGAUCUCUGGGCCGUAACUGACGCUGAGGAGCGAAAGCAUGGGGAGCGAACAGG
rnacentral:rRNA from 1 species